ACGGGGUGCAGCAGGCGCGAAACCUGUACAAUAUGCGAAAGCACGACAAGGUUAACCCGAGUGUCUCCUGCUAAAGGAGUCUUUUGUCAGUUGUAGAAUCACUGAUGAAUAAGGGGUGGGCAAGUUCUGGUGUCAGCCGCCGCGGUAAAACCAGCACCUCGAGUGGUCAGGAGGUUUAUUGGGCCUAAAGCAUCCGUAGCCGGUUGCAUAAGUUUUCGGUUAAAUCUAUGCGCUCAACGUAUAGGCCGCCGAAAAUACUGUGCAGCUAGGGAGUGGAAGAGGUACACGGUACUCAAUAGGAAGGGGUAAAAUCCUUUGAUCUAUUGAUGACCACCUGUGGCGAAGGCGGUGUACCAGAACACGUUCGACGGUGAGGGAUGAAAGCUGGGGGAGCAAACCGGAUUAGAUACCCGGGUAGUCCCAGCUGUAAACGAUGCAGACUCGGUGAUGCAUUGGCUUGUGGCCAAUGCAGUGCCGCAGGGAAGCCGUUAAGUCUGCCGCCUGGGAAGUACGUACGCAAGUAUGAAACUUAAAGGAAUUGGCGGGGGAGCAC
rnacentral:rRNA from 2 species